GAAUGCUGACAUAAGUAACGAUAAAGCGGGUGAAAAGCCCGCUCGCCGGAAGACCAAGGGUUCCUGUCCAACGUUAAUCGGGGCAGGGUGAGUCGACCCCUAAGGCGAGGCCGAAAGGCGUAGUCGAUGGGAAACGGGUUAAUAUUCCCGUACUUGGUGUUACUGCGAAGGGGGGACGGAGAAGGCUAUGUUGGCCGGGCGACGGUUGUCCCGGUUUAAGCGUGUAGGCUGGUUUUCCAGGCAAAUCCGGAAAAUCAAGGCUGAGGCGUGAUGACGAGGCACUACGGUGCUGAAGCAACAAAUGCCCUGCUUCCAGGAAAAGCCUCUAAGCAUCAGGUAACAUCAAAUCGUACCCCAAACCGACACAGGUGGUCAGGUAGAGAAUACCAAGGCGCUUGAGAGAACUCGGGUGAAGGAACUAGGCAAAAUGGUGCCGUAACUUCGGGAGAAGGCACGCUGACACGUAGGUGAAGUGAUUUACUCAUGGAGCUGAAGUCAGUCGAAGAUACCAGCUGGCUGCAACUGUUUAUUAAAAACACAGCACUGUGCAAACACGAAAGUGGACGUAUACGGUGUGACGCCUGCCCGGUGCCGGAAGGUUAAUUGAUGGGGUCAGCGCAAGCGAAGCUCCUGAUCGAAGCCCCGGUAAACGGCGGCCGUAACUAUAACGGUCCUAAGGUAGCGAAAUUCCUUGUCGGGUAAGUUCCGACCUGCACGAAUGGCGUAAUGAUGGCCAGGCUGUCUCCACCCGAGACUCAGUGAAAUUGAACUCGCUGUGAAGAUGCAGUGUACCCGCGGCAAGACGGAAAGACCCCGUGAACCUUUACUAUAGCUUGACACUGAACAUUGAGCCUUGAUGUGUAGGAUAGGUGGGAGGCUUUGAAGUGUGGACGCCAGUCUGCAUGGAGCCGACCUUGAAAUACCACCCUUUAAUGUUUGAUGUUCUAACGUGGACCCGUAAUCCGGGUUGCGGACAGUGUCUGGUGGGUAGUUUGACUGGGGCGGUCUCCUCCUAAAGAGUAACGGAGGAGCACGAAGGUUGGCUAAUCCUGGUCGGACAUCAGGAGGUUAGUGCAAUGGCAUAAGCCAGCUUGACUGCGAGCGUGACGGCGCGAGCAGGUGCGAAAGCAGGUCAUAGUGAUCCGGUGGUUCUGAAUGGAAGGGCCAUCGCUCAACGGAUAAAAGGUACUCCGGGGAUAACAGGCUGAUACCGCCCAAGAGUUCAUAUCGACGGCGGUGUUUGGCACCUCGAUGUCGGCUCAUCACAUCCUGGGGCUGAAGUAGGUCCCAAGGGUAUGGCUGUUCGCCAUUUAAAGUGGUACGCGAGCUGGGUUUAGAACGUCGUGAGACAGUUCGGUCCCUAUCUGCCGUGGGCGCUGGAGAACUGAGGGGGGCUGCUCCUAGUACGAGAGGACCGGAGUGGACGCAUCACUGGUGUUCGGGUUGUCAUGCCAAUGGCACUGCCCGGUAGCUAAAUGCGGAAGAGAUAAGUGCUGAAAGCAUCUAAGCACGAAACUUGCCCCGA
rnacentral:rRNA from 1 species